rnacentral:lncRNA from 1 species
AUGAUUCUUGCUAGUAACUGCAGCGAUAAGCCUUGCCACAUCUUCUGGAGUCAUCAUAUUGAUGUUCAACCAGAUCUAAAAAAAAAUUGCUCUUGAAUUGUAGAAAUCCAAGGACAAGUCAAUUUACCUGCUCUGAUACCAUGAACAGGAUAAGGCAAGCUUGAGAAAACAAUGGACAAUCUCAAUCAUGGGGAACCGAAAAGUAGAAAGAAUGAAAAGAAAGUAGCAGAGUUUUUAAUUCUCAACUCCUGCCUGAACUGUUAUUUUCUUCAUAUUGUUCUAGAACUGUUUUACACAAAAGUAUAUAUGAUCUAUCUUUCGUAACUAACUGUAGGUUUUGGCUAAGUGUACUUGGCUGUGAUGGUUAUUUGUUAAUGGUGCUGUGAUGUUUUUAAUGUGUGAAGGCUGUGACUGAAGUAACGCUUAUAAUGUCACGCUAGGUGGCAGUGACCAAAGCAGGAGCUGCCAGCCUUGCCGCUGCACAUGAACUCGAUAGUGAGGGUCACAAAGUCGUUGUCUAUGCACGAGAUGCCUAAAUUUGUGGUAUCUGGGUCUACAAUUCGUGGGUUGAACCAGACCCGUUAAGUCUCGAUCUUGGCGGAUCCAUAAUACAAUCAGCCGCUACAGCUCUCUUCGCAUCAACCUGUAUACAGAAGUAAGGGAUUUCGGAAACUACCCGUUUAUGCGCAAAUAGAUAAAAUGAGAGAUCGAAGAAGUAUCCGCUGUCGAUUUUAACGCGUUUGGCUUUCAGAGAUUUGAAGAGCACCACCGUAUGCGGCGGCGACAACAGGUUGUUUCCCAGUGUACCCCAGUUUAUUCCUAUCUUGUUCGAGAUCUCUGCGUCUGCAGGUAACAAAACGAAAUAUCAAACACCCAAAAAACAAAACAAAACACCAUUUUUCAUUUUUCAUUUUUAAAAAAAAGAAAAAGAAAAAGAAAAAGAACUUACUGCAAGUGGAAAACAGGAGAGCAAAAACGAAGAAAGGUCAUCCCCAUUGUUGCUCUCUGCAUUUUGCUUGUUUGAGUGUAAUACGUGUAUUAGCUUAAGAAACGAACUGACUGACUGGUGAUUAGGUGAAUUUGUUUUGGAAGGUGAGAAAGAAUCGUUGUGUUAUGACAUGGGAAGAUUGAUGUUUUUUCUUGAGGAAAUUGAAUAAUUUAGGGGUUCUUUAUGCUUUUACUGAAUAUCAAGUUUCUUUCAGGUACUUCAACUUUUUUACUCCACAUCAAGUUUAUUUGAGUUUUCUUUGUUUGUUUUAUUGUAUCACAAUUUUAUUUGUGUGACGAACAAUUUAAUAUUUAUUGAUAGGUAUACGUUGUACUUUGGUUAGUUGUAGGAAUUAAAUUAAGGGCAACAGAAGAAUCUCAC